rnacentral:lncRNA from 1 species
UGGAAUUGUGACACCUAAUUUUGCUGCUUCCACUUCUCAGAUGAAUUUGGAAUCUUGGAUUACUUAAAAGUGGUUGCUCAUUCCCACCUAAAAACACCAUUAGUAGAAAACGGGAACCACUUGCUGAUUUACAUUUGUAUUUCUUGCUGAUCCCUCGAUACAGUUUAUCUGUGUCGGAUAAUUCUGUGUUCCAUGUCUAAUAAAACUAUGGAGUAUAAUAGAAAUGGAAGUGUGACACCUAAUUUUGCUGCUUCCACUUCUCAGAUGAAUUUGGAAUCUUGGAUUACUUAAAAGUGGUUGCUCAUUCCCACCUAAAAACACCAUUAGUAGAAAACGGGAACCACUUGCUGAUUUACAUUUGUAUUUCUUGCUGAUCCCUCGAUACAGUUUAUCUGUGUCGGAUAAUUCAUUUAUCCCUAUCAUUUGUACCUAAGCAUAAUUAUGUUGAAGAAAAUUUUGUCCUAUUGACUUUAUGGUCAAGAUUGUACAUAGCAAUGGCUUAUAUUACUGUUCUCUUGAAACCUCAAUACCUCACUGUUGGAUGUCCUCACAAGGAUAUCAAACAAGUAAAAGUAAGAAAAAUAUAAAGGGUAAGUCAAGCCAAAUAGCCUUUAAACCAUUUUGGUGGAGGUAACCCAAAACUCAAUGCAUGGACCUUACCAAGAGUCAUCUGCACUGUUCGGUUUAGAAAAUUUCAGAAGGUACCAGUGCAGGUCACAUUUGAGGACCCAAAAGCAGGGUGGACAGUGAGUCAGACCCAGGUGAAUAUAUGGGCUAUUUAUUUUCCUUUCUGAAAGACUUGUAUGACCUAGCCAAAAAGAAGAGAUCAGAUUCUAGAUAACCACCACUUGCAGUAUAAGUGAUAACUGGACCUAUAAAUUUAAGUGCGGUCCAGUUGUACUUAAAGGAGGAGUGUUGGAUGUCUCACAUAAAAAACUAAUAAGAUUGAGGCAAGCCAAACCUAGAUGGAUCCAUGAGCUUACAAAAAGGAAAAAAACGAAGUCAGAGGUGGAUGGGUCACCACCGCAUGUAUUCAAGUGACAACUGGACCAACAGAACUGAGUUCAACCCAAUUACAUUUGGGGGAGGAAGUGUUGAUGUCCUAUAUCGGUAGCAAACAAAAAAUAUAUAUAAGGCGUAGCCAAGCCAAAUUGGCUUAGGCCAUUUGGUGGAGAAAACCACAAACUCAAUACAUAGACCUUGAGCUACAUUUAUCUGCGCUCUCCAGUUUAGAAAAUUUUACACCCUUUCUAUUUACCACCAAAAAAUAAAACAAGAGUAUAUAUUAUUAUUAUCUUGAUCUUGAAUCACCUAUGGACAAACUUUUCUUGCCUUUUCAUG